GUGCUCUGCCAGCAUCGGACAGCCCCAGCUGCCCCCACAUCUCCCGUCACCUCAUGGCACUAAUAUCGGGCACCCCAACAAACCCUAUUUCCCCUCUGGGAACUCUGCCCCCCGGCCCCUGCAUGGCAAGCUGGAGGCCAUCCACGGCUGCGUGCAGGCCCUGCUGCGGGACCCGGUGCAGCCACAGCUGUGGGAGCAGCUGGGGCAGGUCUACGAGUCGGAGCAGGACUGGGAGGAGGCCGUGCGGUGCUACCAGAACGCGGCCCGCUACCAGCGCGACUAUGGCAGCUACAGUGAGAUCAGUGCCCGCAUCGGGCGCCUGCAGCAGGUGGGGCCAGCCUGGGGGCCCAUUGCGCUGAUCUGGGGUGGGGGAGUCUGGGCCCAGAGGCCCAUUGCACUGAUCUGGGGCGGGGGUCUGGGCCCAGAGGCCCAUUGCAUGGAUCGGACGUGGUGGUUCUGGGCUUUGUCACAAGAUUUAGCGACAUUUUGGUUUCCCGCGUGAGCAAAUCAGUGUGGCAGUGACCCCGUGAGAAAUCUAGCCACCUUUCACUGCCCGUGCAAAGAGAGAAAUCACCAUCGCUAUCCCCCAGCGCAUUCACCAGCAGCUCAAGCGCGCUCGUCAAACCUUCCAUCGCACGCCCGGGCAAUGUUACUUCUCUGCGGCGCGGCGAGGAAAAGAUGUUGGUCAGGGGCUAAUUCAAGGCAGGCGCGCUUUGGGAGCGAGCGGUCUGUUCGCUUAGUUGUACCCAGAUGUCAUCUUUCUCGCCGCUCCGCAGUUGGAACCGGAGACGAGGCAGCAAGGAUCCUGGCACGGCCGGCCAGCAGGGUGGGAUGAGAUGGGAUCAGAAGAGGAGCUAGAUUGAUUUCGGUUCCCCUUUACUGUGUCCCCCGGGAGUAGCUGCCUGGCUGUUGUCAGAAAUCACACUCUGAAAGCAGGUCGGGAUUGGAAAGGGGUCAGGCUAGCAGAUUUUUAUUUUUAAAUCUACUUGACUGGCUGCAGUGCCGAGCUAAGGUCAGGCAAACGAGCUCACAUCAGGCGAGCUCAGGUCAGGCGAACGAGCUCAGGUCGGGCAAACGAGCUCAUGUCAGGAGAACAAGCUCAGGUCAGGCGAACGAGGUCAGGUCAGGCGAGCUCAGGUCAGACGAAUAAGCUCAGAUCAGGCGAGCUCAGGUCUGGAGAACGAGCUCAGGUCAGGCGAACUCGGGUCAGGCGAACUCGGUCACGUCAGGCAAACAAGGUCACGUCAGGUGAGCUCAGGUCAGGCGAACGAGCUCACGUCAGGCAAGCUCAGGUCUGGUGAACGAGCUCACGUCAGGCGAACUCAGGUCACGCGAAUGAGCUCAGGUCAGGUGAGCUCAGGUCAGGUGAACGAGCUCAGGUCAGGCGAGCUCAGGU